CCCUCAGCUACUGAUUGGCUGAGAGGACAUUUGAAGUCAUUACCUGUGUUUGGAACCAGGAACAGGCAGUAGAGAACAGAGGGGAAUGGAGCAGAAUCGGAAUGUCAGGAGGGAAGAGGGGAGAUCGGUCAGAUUUUAAUAAACUUUUUAGAACAGAGCUGAUCGCUUAACCCUCAACAUGGAACAGCGUCCUUUUUUAAUUACUGAAGAAUCAUUAAGAAAGACCGUGACCAAAUCUCAAGUGGUGUGAUAACUAUCCUCUUGAUGCAACAUUAAAGGGGUCACAUGACAGACACAGUAUUCUGCAAUCCAUCAGGAGCAUCGAGGAACUGAAAUGAUUUCUUUUCAUUCAUUUUUUAAUAUCAACUUUAUCCCGAUUCCUCUGAAAGCUUUCUUUUUUUUUCAUAUUUUAAUUGCCUCCAAAAAAAAGUCCAAUAAACAAUAUACAAAAAUGCAACACAAUCAAUACCAAUUUCUACACAAUUGUGCCAUCUACAGC